rnacentral:lncRNA from 10 species
UGAGAAGCAAGCUGGGGCCACCUCACCUGAUGACAUGGUUGAUGACAAUUGGGUCAGGGGGCAAUAGCAGGGCUGUGAGGCGCUGGGGAAUCUCAGAAAACUUCAGCCGGGGACAAUCAAAAAUCUGAAGCAGGACAAUUGGGGAGAGAGAGAUCACUCUUCUUGAAGAGAUCAUCAUGCAGUUGUAGAUCCUUUUGUUCUAGAAAGGCCACAAGAAGCUGAGAGGAAGUCUGAUUCCUCAGUGCGCAUGGGGAUGGGAUUGGGGUGGGCUGGUCUGGUGGUGGAGCCACCGGUAUGGCUGACAAGAUAGGGGGUGGGUCAGUGUGGGGCAGGGGUUGAGAGUGCGGGCCCUGGGUCAGCCUGCUUAUGUAUCAGUCCUGCCUCUGCCACUUACUAUGCAACCUGGAGCAAGUUAACACCUCAGGGCUCAGUGUCUUCAUCUCUAGAGUGGGGAUGAAAAGAAUACCUAUCUCCCAGGGCUGCCGUGAGAAGUCAGUGAACUAAUACACAUAAAGUGCUUGGGACAGUGCCUGGCACAUGGUAAGUGCCCAAUAAAUAUCAACUGCUAUUUUUA